rnacentral:rRNA from 1 species
UACGUAGGGGGCAAGCGUUGUCCGGAUUUAUUGGGCGUAAAGAGCGUGUAGGCGCCAUACAGGUCCGUUGUGAAAACUGGAGGCUUAACCUCCAGACGUCGAUGGAAACCGUAUGGCUAGAGUCCGGAAGAGGAGAGUGGAAUUCCUGGUGUAGCGGUGAAAUGCGCAGAUAUCAGGAAGAACACCCGUGCGAAGGCGGCACUCUGG